rnacentral:lncRNA from 1 species
AUGUAUCUCAUACAUAUACCUACAUCAUGGAUAAUCAAUGGUAAGAAUAAUUAAGUAGAGAUAACCUUCUCUGGCAGCUACAUUAAAUGGACGAUACACACAUAAAGUGUGUACCAAGGCAAGUAUCUCAAUGGUCCUUUUUCUAUGCCCACAAAAAGUAGCUUGGCCAUAUAUUCUUGAAGAUAAGAGUCACAGAUUGGAUAUGACUCCGUAGUCAC